AGAGAUAAAGGGAAAAGCUGUGGAAUGUAAAGUCACCAUUUUGAAAGAAGCUUAGCGGACCGUCCCGUAAGUCACAUUUGAUUACCAAGCUUGUGAGCGUCAUUUUGUGGCUCAUAUCAAAAAUUGUUUUGUUUUUUCGUAAGCCUACUUAUUAAAUUUAACAAAAUAUCCAAAAACAGGAAGAAUAUGGCAAGGUAUAGGGAGUGGGAUCUUUCGUGUAAGGUUUAUGUCGGUAAUUUGGGUUCAUCAGCUAGUAAACAUGAAAUUGAAAGUGCUUUUGGUAAAUACGGUCCAUUAAGGAACGUUUGGGUUGCCAGGAAUCCUCCCGGUUUUGCGUUUGUGGAAUUUGAAGAUCCCCGAGAUGCAGAAGACGCAGUUCGAGGUUUAGAUGGAACUCGUUGCUGUGGUACUAGAGUAAGAGUUGAAAUGUCUAAUGGUCGUUCUAGAAGAGGUGGCGGAGGAGGAAGAAGAGGACCUUCUCGUUAUUCCAGGCCUUCAGCCCCACUGCUGUUAUCCUUCCUCCAACCGCGGACCAUCGGUCCGUUACACAUCUUCACCUCACAUCGACUAAACAUCCAUCCACCUUGAUCCUCGGGAGCUGAUCACAGAUUGUCAUCAAUCUUCUAAUGAAAAAUUAUUUUUCUUCAAUAUCAAUUCAACUACUGGUGUACAACUUUAAUCUCGACGUCGACAUCCGACAACAUACCACCACAGCAUCUUUAAUUUUUUCACCUCUCAGCACAAAUACAAGUGGGAAAGAUAAUUUUUUUGCUCAGUAUUUGCGUAAAUAACGUUUUUUCUAGAUUUUCGAUUGAAUUGGGUAAUAAUUUGAAAUUUUAAACUAACUUCAAGAAUCUAAUGUAAUAAAUAUAUUUUUUUACAUAUAUAAUUAUUACUAUCGAUAAGGUCGAGUUUAUUUAAGUAUUUCUGGCAAAUUUGACUCAUUACAAUCGUUCUUUAGAGAAAACAAUUUUCUUAUUGUGUGUAACUAAAAAAUGAUGUUAAUCCCCAAUUGAUUCUUACAAUGAGUUGUGUUUAUUUAAUUGGAUAGUUCAGGAAAGAAAAAACAAAGUUUGAAAGGUUUUUAAGAAUUCAAUUGAGGUUAAGUCUGGAAAAAAUAUCUUUUUUAAUUCAAACAAUCAUUUUUUUUUCUUCUAUUAACGUUUUUUGUUAUAUGAAGAAUUAAGAAAUGAAAAUUCAACAUCCUAUAAAAUCCAUGUUUAGAAGUUACUUAAUAACUCUUGCUUUCUAAUCCCAGAGCUAUCUCCAGUAUAUGCCCUAGCUCCAACUAGGUUUGAAGCAUUGUUUUUGAUUGCUUACAAUGACUAGAUAUUCUAGACCCAGGUACCCAGUUGAGUUUCUGCUAUACCUAAUCUCAUUGGGUGCCUCUUGGAGCAGUAUUGCAAUGUAACGAAACCGAUGAGGGUGUGUAGCUUGUUUUUGUUUUGAUAUAAAUGUUAUGAAGGUUCUGAGAGAAGUUUUUUGGAGCGAUCCAUCCCAGGAAAGCACCCCCAGUUUGUUUUUCUCUCGUUGGAGUUUUUUUGUUAACCACUAGGACCCUGAGUCGUUUUUUUAGUUCAAUUCUACUAUUCGUUUUCUUUGAUUCCAGAUACCCAAAAUAAAGUCUACUAUUUUUGUAUAUUUCAUUAAGUUUUUUUAUUCUUAUCCUAGCUUUCAGUUGAUGACAUGGGAACUUGUGCAUCAAAAUAUACUCGAUUGUCAUAAUUUUUUAUAGUCUAUGUAUGGAGCCUCAGAUGUCAGUCUGUUAAUAUAACUGCUAUUGACCACAAAUUACUUUCUAUUCAUUCAUUAGUUUAUCUAUUAUGUCUUUAAUUCAUUUUGAUCAAUUUUGUGGAAAAUUUGGAUUAUUUUUUGUUUUCUUUAUUAUAAAUGAGCUUUCAGGACAAAAAAUGAAAGCCUGAUUAAAUAGACAAACAAAUUUGGUUUCUGUUUUCUCUUGAUUCACCUUCGUAUAUAUUUAAAUUGGAUUUACUUCUGCUUUUUUCAAAAAUAUUUUCAGAUUUAACCUUUUAUUUUUAUAGUUAGAAAAGUUACAUCCCGUAAUCUACAACAAAUAAUGAAAUUCAUUUUAAAAGAGUUAAAAAACUUUUUACGAUUAAGUUACUUCUUUCAUCUCAAUGUAAUUUAUUUUCUAGCAAAUAUUUUUUCACAUAUCAAAUUAAAAAAAAUUUCAUAUAUACAGUGUGUUCAGUAUAAUUAUCACCAAUGAUUGCAGAAAUUCCAUCUUAACACCAUAUGACGUCAUAAUUAGUUAAUAUAUAUCUGUUAUACUGCAAUAUUUAGGGAAAUUUCAAGUUUUCUCUAUCUGGAACAUCAUAGAUGUUGGUACAUACCAUAAUGUAUCGAUGUUUCAUGUUUCGGGUAGGAAAAAAAUUAGUACUUUUCGCUUUUUGUAUAACAAUUUUAUCUACCAGGUUACUUAAAAGUCGGAUUGAUGUCAUUUUAUUAGUUACACAUAUUGUUUUUCCUACUUUUAUGUCAGCAAAUUGCAGCUCCAACAAAUUAAUAUAAAAAUAAUGGAUUUUGCCACAACGUUGACGUUGGUUUGUACAUUUCUGACAACAAGGCAACGAGACCUACCUAAUUGUCUAUUGCAACCCCUUCAAGUGAGUUAAACACCCGGUAGAAAAUUAAUCCCAUAAGAAAGAUCACUUGUCGAGUGAUGUUUCCAACACUUUGAAAUUCAAAGCAUCAAGGAAAACAUUACCGAAUGUGUCGAGAUCUCCGAGACGAUCCAGAAGCCCCAGAUCCAGAUCUAGAAGCCGAGAUUCGAGAGGAAGAUCAGAUUCUCGAGACAGACGCUAAAAUUUUCGAAUUUUAAGUUUUUACCGAAUAUUUGUGGAAAAAGUAUACAAUAGUAUUUUAAUUUUUACAUUUUUUUUUAAGUAAACCUUUCUACUUAAUUUCAUCUUUAUGUAUUUUCACUUUAUAUUAGUCUACAAUCGUAACGAUGGUAAAUAUAUAUUAUAUAUCAAGCCGUAA